rnacentral:tRNA from 2 species
CGGGAUGUAGCGCAGCCUGGUAGCGCACCUGCUUCGGGAGUAGGGGGUCGGAAGUUCAAAUCUUCUCAUCCCGACCA